CUGAGCUUUGUAUCUGUCACUCUAGACAUAUCAGGAUGAUCUCCCAGACUCAGCUACUUUGGCUCCUCGUGCUCUGCAUUCAAGAUUCCAGUGGACAGACUGUGAUGACUCAGACUCCAGAAUUCCUGGCAGUGUCUCCAGGAGACAGAGUCACCAUCAACUGCAAAGCCAGUUCCAGUGUUAGCAACUGGAUGGCCUGGUACCAACAGAAAUCAGGACAGGCUCCUAAGCUCCUUAUAUAUGAUGCUUCCAGCCGUCCCUCUGGGAUCCCAGACCGGUUCAGUGGCAGUGGGUCUGGC